UUGAACGCUGGCGGCACGCCUUACACAUGCAAGUCGAACGGCAGCACGGGAGCAAUCCUGGUGGCGAGUGGCGAACGGGUGAGUAAUAUAUCGGAACGUGCCCGGUCGUGGGGGAUAACGUAGCGAAAGCUACGCUAAUACCGCAUACGAUCUACGGAUGAAAGCGGGGGAUCGCAAGACCUCGCGCGAUUGGAGCGGCCGAUAUCAGAUUAGGUAGUUGGUGAGGUAAAGGCUCACCAAGCCGACGAUCUGUAGCUGGUCUGAGAGGACGACCAGCCACACUGGGACUGAGACACGGCCCAGACUCCUACGGGAGGCAGCAGUGGGGAAUUUUGGACAAUGGGCGCAAGCCUGAUCCAGCAAUGCCGCGUGCAGGAUGAAGGCCUUCGGGUUGUAAACUGCUUUGUACGGAACGAAACGGUGAGCUCUAAUACAGUUUGCUAAUGACGGUACCGUAAGAAUAAGCACCGGCUAACUACGUG
rnacentral:rRNA from 1 species